rnacentral:rRNA from 1 species
GAUGAACGCUGGCGGCGUGCCUAAUACAUGCAGGUCGAGCGAACAGACGAGGAGCUUGCUCCUCUGACGUUAGCGGCGGACGGGUGAGUAACACGUGGAUAACCUACCUAUAAGACUGGGAUAACUUCGGGAAACCGGAGCUAAUACCGGAUAAUAUAUUGAACCGCAUGGUUCAAUAGUGAAAGACGGUUUUGCUGUCACUUAUAGAUGGAUCCGCGCCGCAUUAGCUAGUUGGUAAGGUAACGGCUUACCAAGGCGACGAUGCGUAGCCGACCUGAGAGAGUGAUCGGCCACACUGGAACUGAGACACGGUCCAGACUCCUACGGGAGGCAGCAGUAGGGAAUCUUCCGCAAUGGGCGAAAGCCUGACGGAGCAACGCCGCGUGAGUGAUGAAGGUCUUCGGAUCGUAAAACUCUGUUAUUAGGGAAGAACAAAUGUGUAAGUAACUAUGCACGUCUUGACGGUACCUAAUCAGAAAGCCACGGCUAACUACGUG